AACUUCAUGGCGUAGUGGAAGCGCACCAGGUUUUCGGCUCCGAAUGCCUAGAAGUCCUCUGAUCAAAACAGAGUGAAGCUA